UGGGGUGUGGCUCAGUGGUAGAGUGCUCACCUAGCAUGUGCAAGGCCCUGGGUUCGAUCCCCAGCACCAUAC
rnacentral:tRNA from 1 species